CAGCCGCGGUAAGACGAACCGUGCAAACGUUGUUCGGAUUCACUGGGCUUAAAGGGUGCGUAGGCGGGUGAUCAAGUCAGGGGUGAAAUCCUCCCGCUUAACGGGAGAAGUGCCUUUGAUACUGGUCGUCUUGAGGGAGGUAGGGGCAUGUGGAACUUCCGGUGGAGCGGUGAAAUGCGUAGAUAUCGGAAGGAACGCCGGUGGCGAAAGCGACGUGCUGGAUCUCUUCUGACGCUGAGGCACGAAAGCCAGGGUAGCGAACGGGAUUAGAUACCCCGGUAGUCCUGGCCCUAAACGAUGGGUACUAGAUUGUGGGCUUGACAUGGGUUCACAGUCGAAGCAAAAGUGUUAAGUACCCCGCCUGGGGAGUAUGGUCGCAAGGCUGAAACUCAAAGGAAUUGACGGGGGCUCACACAAGCGGUGGAGCAUGUGGCUUAAUUCGAGGCUACGCGAAGAACCUUAUCCUGGGCUUGACAUGUUCGAAAGAGGUAGGAAGUAGGGUGCGGAAACGUUACCCCAACGGUAUCCAGUCCGGAACCUACUACAGGUGCUGCAUGGCUGUCGUCAGCUCGUGUCGUGAGAUGUUGGGUUAAGUCCCGUAACGAGCGAAACCCUUGUCCUUAGUUGCCAACGUAAAGUCGGGGACUCUAGGGAGACUGCCGGUGUUAAACCGGAGGAAGGUGGGGAUGACGUCAAGUCCUCAUGGCCUUUAUGCCCAGGGCUGCACACGUGCUACAAUGGCAUGUACAAAGGGACGCCAACCAGCGAUGGGGAGCAAAUCCCAAAAAACAUGCCCCAGUUCAGAUCGCAGGCUGCAACUCGCCUGCGUGAAGUUGGAAUCGCUAGUAAUCGCAGGUCAGCAACACGGCGGUGAAUGUGUUCCUGAGCCUUGU
rnacentral:rRNA from 1 species